UUGGGCGGAGUUAAACCAGGGCUGGAUUGGGACUCAGAGAUCUGAGAUUUUUAUCCUGGCCCUGGCCCUGGCCCUGCCCCUUACAAACUAUGCACCAGGUAUCUCCUCCGUGGGCCUCAGUUUCUCUAUCGUAAAAUGAACCAGUGGUGUAGGACAGUGAUUUCAAACUUCAGUGCACAUUCAAUAAAUAUUUACUAACCUCAUAGGGUGGGGGCCUGCAGGGUUCUAGGAAACGGGGUUUGGCAAUCAAUCAGGCUAGCAAGUUCUCUGUCCUCACGGAAUUUACACUCUAAGGUGGAGAAAGACCAUAAACGAGGUGAUAAACAAGGGCUUGUGUAGUAUCUAUGAAGACAGUAACUACUACAGUGGUAGGUUAGACUCGAGCAGCUCCUUUAGUAUGGAUGAUGAUGAAGGAAAACUUUGAAUACAGAUUCCAAAUGUUUUAGAAUUAAGUAUGCCUGGUACAGGACCUAGAAAGUGUCUAAGAACCUCCCCCCCCACCUUGGGUGCUUACCCAUCAGAUGGCCCUACAAUUCACUGGGAGAAUUCCUGGCCUCUUUGGCUGUGAUCCUGCUUGCUCAAGACAUAACAGCCUGGGAUGUCGGCCAUCUCCAAAGGCAAGGAUCAGAACACAGGACCUCCUGGAUACAGGAGGAGGCUUAUGAGAGACAGAGGAAGCUGCCCCAGGGACCGGGGACUGAGGGACCAAGGGACCAAGGGACCAGAGAGCCCAGAGACCAGCCCAUCUUUGGCUUUGCCGAAUGCCUUUGGACAGCCUCUCUACCUUCCUGGGCUUCCAUUUCUCCAUCCACAAAACGGCCUUUCCCUUGGUCGAGAAAAGAAGUAAGCUGCCCCUUAUCUCAGAUGAGGCUGUGUGACUAAGGAGGUCCAGAGUCAACAUAUAUCAGCAGUGUUUGUUGAUUAAUUGAUCUGUGCCAUCAUCCCUGAGUACUCAGCAUCAUGCAAGGCUCCUGGAGAGAGGUAUGAUCACAUGAGCCCAAGUAUUAACUAGGGCUCCUGCCUUCAGUGAUAAUAGCAAGCAUAAUAGUGAUAAUGGCAGGGUCUGUAGACAGGGUUUUUUUUGUUUGUUUGUUUAGGGUGGCACUUCCCAAGGUAAAGUCUCCAGAAUGUGAAUAGAUAGACCACCAGGAUGGAAUCUGUUGAACCACUGGAUUUAACCAAUGUUAAAUAAAUGUUUUACUGUGGGAUAGCUUGGGACUUUUACCAUUCAUGGUGAAUCUCUCAGAAAGAGAGCAUUUCCCAAACU